rnacentral:rRNA from 1 species
AGUAACGCGUGAGUAACCUGCCUUCAAGAGGGGGAUAACAUUCUGAAAAGAAUGCUAAUACCGCAUGACAUAUCGGAACCACAUGGUUUUGAUAUCAAAGAUUUUAUCGCUUGAAGAUGGACUCGCGUCCGAUUAGUUAGUUGGUGAGGUAACGGCUCACCAAGACCGCGAUCGGUAGCCGGACUGAGAGGGUGAUCGGCCACAUUGGGACUGAGACACGGCCCAAACUCCUACGGGAGGCAGCAUG